UUACUCGGAAUCACUGGGCGUAAAGGGCGCGUAGGCGGAUUAUCAAGUCUCUUGUGAAAUCUAAUGGCUUAACCAUUAAACUGCUUGGGAAACUGAUAGUCUAGAGUGAGGGAGAGGCAGAUGGAAUUGGUGGUGUAGGGGUAAAAUCCGUAGAUAUCACCAAGAAUACCCAUUGCGAAGGCGAUCUGCUGGAACUCAACUGACGCUAAGGCGCGAAAGCGUGGGGAGCAAACAGGAUUAGAUACCCUGGUAGUCCACGCCCUAAACGAUGUAUGCUAGUUGUUGGGGUGCUAGUCAUCUCAGUAAUGCAGCUAACGCAUUAAGCAUACCGCCUGGGGAGUACGGUCGCAAGAUUAAAACUCAAAGGAAUAGACGGGGACCCGCACAAGCGGUGGAGCAUGUGGUUUAAUUCGAAGAUACGCGAAGAACCUUACCUAGGCUUGAUAUCCAACAAAUUCUGUAGAGAUACGGAAGUGCUAGCUUGCUAGAAUGUU
rnacentral:rRNA from 1 species